GACCUAAACCAUAGAUUUAUCUAUUGGCAUGGUCACAAAUCGUUAGGCAUGAAAAACCCGUUAUCAGGGCGUGCCUAACGUUAUAGGGGGAAACUCCUAUAGGGCUUUCGAGCCU
rnacentral:sRNA from 1 species